UAAAUUCUAAAUUCGAGUGUCAUUAUGUGCAUUUGAGGUGUGUGAGGGUCUAGAAUCCAAAAUGUUUGGGUUUGCCAUUAAUAGAUUUUUGUUCAGUUCUUUAUUUGUUGUGCUUUGUAGUUACUUUUUUUUUUUUUUGCUCUAAAAAACAGCUGGCAUUCAUUAAAUAAAAUGGUUAAAAACAGACAACACUAAACACACCAAAAGUAACUGAAAAGAAAAAAAGAAAAGUUAAAGACACACAAAACAAAGAAGCUAAAGCACAUAGAAAACCCAAAAACUAGAAGAAGAAAAUCAAACAGAUCCAACCCUAAAACACCAAAAUGAACACCAGCUAAAUCGUUCCUCUUCUCCCCAAGACCCAGUGAAAAUCGAGAGAAAAGAAAAACCAGCUUUGAAGAAACCAAAAUGGAGAUUCUAAGAACCUUCUCCAAAAACUUCAAUGCUCAUAAACACCGGCGGUUCUAGACCAACCAAUCCUCCGCUACCAGAAUUUCAAUAGAAGUUGGCACCUCUUCAACCCAGAAGCAAGGUGAAACCCGCUGUCGCCCUUCUAAUACCAAAGUAUGAACCGCCCAAUUCGCACCUCUCGGAAUAAAUUGGUAUUGGUGUUGCAAUAAAAAAAAAGAUUCAAAGACUGCCACAGUUGUCGCAAAACACUGCAGAACCACAGUAAGUGACCAGAAUCCUCUGACACCUCCUGACAUAGAAGGUAAACAUCAUCAACGUGUAAUCUGCAUUUGUUUAAAUUACCAUAGUGAGGCACAUAGUAUUUGAUAAGACGCAAAAAAUGAAACUUUAGUUUAGAAGGAAUCUGUAAGUCCCAAAGCAAUUUGUAGAACUUUUUGUAAUUGGCUGUAAGGUCUUGAUUACAUUCAGAAUGUUGCCUUGUUGUUGUAAGUAA